AAUGUUGUUAACAUUUAGUGUUUGCAGUCUCGUGAUCAUGACUCUGGUGGACAUAGCACAUGGAAAACAAUGGCAUGUUCCCUUCAGGGAUUCAAGGCUCACAUUUCUCCUUCAGGACUCUUGGUGGAAAUUCAUAAAAAACAAAUUUUGCGAAUGUCAGCCCAUUUAUUUGGUGUGUAGCUAUUUUCCUAGAGUUCUCUACUUUAGUUUUUUCUUUGUUUCAUAUUCAGAAUUGUAUUUGUUUUGUAUUGUGAAUCACAUCAUAUGGCUUUCCUGCAGCUUUGCCAAUGAAACACUAAGCACUUUGAAUUCUGAUAAUUUAUGGUGAAUUUUUUUGGAAGUUGGUUCUCCAUGGAUGAGAAACAUUCCAUUGCUUAUGCCAAAGUGGAAAUUGUUGAAACAGCAGACAUGAAACCAUCCAACUUAAAUGGUUCAUUCCACACCGGACCACACCCAUGGGAUAAGAUUUUAUGUUUCACUGCUUUACCUCUCUCUUUCUGUUUUGGAUGGCAGAGAGCUACAUUGCACAAGGUAUUAGAAUGGUAAUGCAUAUCUUCCUUUUCUCUCUCGGUAAGACCACUAUGGAACUUUAGAGAGUGAACUGUUUGUUGAUUAGGGGGACUUUUGCAAUUCGUGAGCUGUUCAAUUUUCUUGAUAUAUUCAUUACGUGCUUAAUGGAGUUAGUUCAGUUCUGAUCUUCUUCUUCUUCUUCUUUACUUCUUGUGUGCAUGGCAUGUAUUAUGAUUCCGAGAAAGUUGUUACUAUUCCAUGCAUAUUUUAGCAUGAAGACAACACUUUAUGUAUGUAUAACUAUUUUGUCAACUUAAUAGUAUGUAAUUCUUUCAUAGUUGAUACAUACACAUUUUUUCUUUUCUUUUAAUGCGAUUUGUGUGAUGGGUAGUUGCAGGUGUUCGGUUUAUGUGAUUGAAUAAGUGAAGGUUGUUCUGUUGUGUUUUAUUUUUAUUUAUUUAUUUUGGUGGGGGUUUGCAUUUGAUGGGUGGUUGGGGCUUCAGUUUGUGUUUACUGGAUCUACUUUCUUAACUCUAGUUUUUUGUUUUUUGUUUUUUAUUAUGGUCCUAGUAUGUUAUUUUACGUUCUAGUUUCAGGGUUUUCACUUCUUUUCCUUAAAAAUAAAUAAAUUAGGUCAAGGAUUCUAUUGUUUCAAACUCUUCCUGGUUCCUGUAUUUUUUUGUUCAUUAAUUUUCUAUUUUAUGCUUUUAUGACCUCUAAAUUUCACAUUCAUAAUGUGUUAUCGUGUUUGAAGAUGGAAGGUAUUCAAUAUUCUGUUUCUUAUGCAUCAAUGGGGGUUGAUAAUAGAUUGCGGAUGGAUAAUUUCUGCAAUAAUUUUAGAGUUUAAGUAGUUCGAAUUACAGAAGAUGAGAUUGAGUUUGAUAUGAUUGGGAUUAAUGCUUCACUGGCCAACGCAUUUAGGAGGAUCCUCAUCACUAAGGUACAUCUUUAAAACUGGUCUGUUUUUCUUAUAUAUUUUCUUUAUAAUUUUCCAGAUAUAGUGUGCUGUCAAUUGAGUUUCAUCCAAAUUGAUUAGUUUGUCUGGUAUUCAUUUUUUUUUUUUUUUAUUACUUGGGCUGAUGUUUGGAAUCUUUGGAUAUUAAAGUUUACUUAUUUAUAUUCUUCCUUUUUUGCAGUGAUCUUUGUUGGUUUUUUUUUCAUCAUGAAAUUGAAAGUCCUUUUCCUCGUGAAAACUGGUCUGUUUAGCAGCUCUUUUCUCCUUUCGAUCACAAUUUUCAAUCAUUUAGUUUCUUUUUCCAACUUAAAAUAAUUGUGAUUAUGCAGGGAAACUGCCUUUGCGGGACUGAAUCUGAUGUGGAGGUUGUGGGGCCUGCCUGAUUUUGCAGGAUCUCAUUCCCAAAUGGGUACUAUAUAAGAAGCUAUCAUUUUGAAGACUAUGGAGCUGUUCAUUUUUUAUUUUUAUUUUUAAAGGCUAUGGAGUCAUCAAUCAGUCAUACCUAGAAAUUUGAAUCCCCAUUCAGGAGGGAUUCUCUAUCAUAUGUUUUCAGUGAAUUGAUGUUUGCUUGCAGUACUUUGUCAUGGUUAUUUCAAUACAGUGUGAGGACAUUUCAACAGCCAA